GACGAACGCUGGCGGCGUGCCUAAUACAUGCAAGUAGAACGCUGAAGGAGGAGCUUGCUUCUCUGGAUGAGUUGCGAACGGGUGAGUAACGCGUAGGUAACCUGCCUGGUAGCGGGGGAUAACUAUUGGAAACGAUAGCUAAUACCGCAUAAUAGUAGAUGUCGCAUGACAUUUGCUUAAAAGGUGCAAUUGCAUCACUACCAGAUGGACCUGCGUUGUAUUAGCUAGUUGGCGAGGUAACGGCUCACCAAGGCAACGAUACAUAGCCGACCUGAGAGGGGGAUCGGCCACACUGGGACUGGGACACGGCCCAGACUCCUACGGGAGGCAGCAGUAGGGAAUCUUCGGCAAUGGACGGAAGUCUGACCGAGCAACGCCGCGUGAGUGAAGAAGGUUUUCGGAUCGUAAAGCUCUGUUGUAAGAGAAGAACGAGUGUGAGAGUGGAAAGUUCACACUGUGACGGUAUCUUACCAGAAAGGGACGGCUAACUACGUG
rnacentral:rRNA from 1 species